rnacentral:rRNA from 1 species
CCUACGGGUGGCAGCAGUGAGGAAUAUUGGUCAAUGGACGAGAGUCUGAACCAGCCAAGUAGCGUGAAGGAUGACUGCCCUAUGGGUUGUAAACUUCUUUUAUAAAGGAAUAAAACGAGGCACGUGUGCCUUUUUGCAUGUACUUUAUGAAUAAGGAUCGGCUAACUCCGUGCCAGCAGCCGCGGUAAUACGGAGGAUCCGAGCGUUAUCCGGAUUUGUUGGGUUUAAAGGGAGCGUAGAUGGGUUGUUAAGUCAGUUGUGAAAGUUUGCGGCUCAACCGUAAAAUUGCAAUUGAUACUGGCAGUCGUGAGUACAGUUGAGGUAGGCGGAAUUCGUGGUGUAGCGGUGAAAUGCUUAGAUAGCACGAAGAACCCCGAUUGCGAAGGCAGCUUACUAAACUGUGACUGACAUUGAUGCUCGAAAGUGUGGGUAUCAAACAGGAUUAGAUACCCGUGUAGUC